rnacentral:sRNA from 1 species
AGACUCUGAGGAAGAGUUUGUCCCUAAUUCAUUCUUAGUUAAAAGUGGCUCCGCCAGCCUGGGGGUCGCGGCGAAUGAUCACCCGGGCGGCCUGCAGAACCACGCGCGGCUCCGGACGCCGCCGCCGCCGCUCUCGCACGCCCACACCCCCAACCAGCACCACGCGGCCUCCAUUAACUCCCUGAACCGGGGCAACUUCACGCCGAGGAGCAACCCCAGCCCGGCCCCCACGGACCACUCGCUCUCCGGAGAGCCCCCUGCCGGCGGCGCCCAGGAGCCUGCCCACGCCCAGGACAACUGGCUGCUCAACAGCAACAUCCCCCUGGAGACCAGAAACCUAGGCAAGCAGCCAUUCCUAGGGACAUUGCAGGACAACCUCAUUGAGAUGGACAUUCUCGGCGCCUCCCGCCAUGAUGGGGCUUACAGUGACGGGCACUUCCUCUUCAAGCCUGGAGGCACCUCCCCGCUCUUCUGCACCACAUCACCAGGGUACCCACUGACGUCCAGCACAGUGUACUCUCCUCCGCCCCGACCCCUGCCCCGCAGCACCUUCGCCCGGCCGGCCUUUAACCUCAAGAAGCCCUCCA